rnacentral:rRNA from 1 species
GUUGAACGCUGGCGGCGUGCUUAAUACAUGCAAGUCGAGCGAAAAGACGCGGAGCUUGCCCCACUGAUGUUAGAGGCGGACGGGAGAGUAACACGUGGAUACCCUGCCUAUAAGAAUGGGAUCACUUCGUGAAACAGGAGCUCAUACCGGAUAAUAUUUUAAACCGCAGGGUUGAAUAGUGAAUUUCGGCUUUCGCGUUUCUAAUAGCCGGUUUCGCGCCGCAUUAGCUAGUUGGUAAGGUAACGGCCUACCAAGGCGACGAUGCGUAGCCGACCUGAGAGGGUGAUCGGCCACACUGGAACUGAGACACGGUCCAGACUCCUACGGGAGGCAGCAGUAGGGAAUCUUCCGCAAUGGGCGAAAGCCUGACGGAGCAACGCCGCGUGAGUGAUGAAGGUCUUCGGAUCGUAAAACUCUGUUAUUAGGGAAGAACAAAUGUGUAAGUAACUAUGCACGUCUUGACGGUACCUAAUCAGAAAGCCACGGCUAACUACGUG